rnacentral:rRNA from 1 species
GGUGAGUAACACGUGGGUGAUCUGCCCUGCACUUCGGGAUAAGCCUGGGAAACUGGGUCUAAUACCGGAUAUGACCUCAGGUUGCAUGACUUGGGGUGGAAAGAUUUAUCGGUGCAGGAUGGGCCCGCGGCCUAUCAGCUUGUUGGUGGGGUAAUGGCCUACCAAGGCGACGACUGGUAGCCGACCUGAGAGGGUGACCGGCCACACUGGGACUGAGACACGGCCCAGACUCCUACGGGAGGCAGCAGUGGGGAAUAUUGCACAAUGGGCGAAAGCCUGAUGCAGCGACGCCGCGUGAGGGAUGACGGCCUUCGGGUUGUAAACCUCUUUCAGCAGGGACGAAGCGCAAGUGACGGUACCUGCAGAAGAAGCACCGGCUAACUACGUGCCAGCAGCCGCGGUAAUACGUAGGGUGCAAGCGUUGUCCGGAAUUACUGGGCGUAAAGAGUUCGUAGGCGGUUUGUCGCGUCGUUUGUGAAAACCAGCAGCUCAACUGCUGGCUUGCAGGCGAUACGGGCAGACUUGAGUACUGCAGGGGAGACUGGAAUUCCUGGUGUAGCGGUGAAAUGCGCAGAUAUCAGGAGGAACACCGGUGGCGAAGGCGGGUCUCUGGGCAGUAACUGACGCUGAGGAACGAAAGCGUGUGUAGCGAACAGGAUUAGAUACCCUGGUAGUCCACGCCGUACACGGUGGGCGCUAGGUGUGGGUUCCUUCCACGGAAUCCGUGCCGUAGCUAACGCAUUAAGCGCCCCGCCUGGGGAGUACGGCCGCAAGGCUAAAACUCACAGGAAUUGACGGGGGCCCGCACAAGCGGCGGAGCAUGUGGAUUAAUUCGAUGCAACGCGAAGAACCUUACCUGGGUUUGACAUAUACCGGAAAGCUGCAGAGAUGU